rnacentral:rRNA from 1 species
GACGAACGCUGGCGGCGUGCUUAACACAUGCAAGUCGAACGGAAAGGCCCUGCUUUUGUGGGGUGCUCGAGUGGCGAACGGGUGAGUAACACGUGUGUAACCUGCCCUUGACUUUGGGAUAACUUCAGGAAACUGGGGCUAAUACCGGGUAGGAUCUCCUGCUGCGUGGUGGGGGUUGGAAAGUUUCGGCGGUUGGGGAUGGACUCGCGGCCUAUCAGCUUGUUUGUGGGGUAGUGGCUUACCCAGGCUUUGACGGGUAGCCGGCCUGAGAGGGUGACCGGGGACAAUGGGACUGAGAGACGGCCCAGACUCGUACGGUAGGCAGCGGUGGGGAGUAUGACAGAAUGGGGGGAAGCGUGAGGCAGCAGCGCCGGGUGCGGGAUGACGUGCUACGGGUUGUAAACCGCUGUCGCCGGUGACGAGGCGGUAGUGACGGUAAUGGAUAAAGAAGCACCGGCUAACUACGUG